GAUGAACGCUGGCGGCGUGCCUAAUACAUGCAAGUCGAGCGAACAGAUGAGAAGCUUGCUUCUCUGAUGUUAGCGGCGGACGGGUGAGUAACACGUGGGUAACCUACCUAUAAGACUGGGAUAACUCCGGGAAACCGGGGCUAAUACCGGAUAAUAUUUUGAACCGCAUGGUUCAAUAGUGAAAGACGGUUUCGGCUGUCACUUAUAGAUGGACCCGCGCCGUAUUAGCUAGUUGGUAAGGUAACGGCUUACCAAGGCGACGAUACGUAGCCGGCCUGAGAGGGUGAUCGGCCACACUGGAACUGAGACACGGGCCAGACUCCUACGGGAGGCAGCAGUAGGGAAUCUUCCGCAAUGGGCGAAAGCCUGACGGAGCAACGCCGCGGGAGUGAUGAAGGUCUUCGGAUCGUAAAACGCUGUUGUUAGGGAAGAACAAAUUUGUUAGUAUCUGGACAAGUCUUGACGGUACCUAACCAGAAAGCCACGGCUAACUACGUGCCAGCCGCCGCAGUAA
rnacentral:rRNA from 1 species